AAUCCCACACGAUCCUCCAUUCAAAACUCGCGCCCUCUAGACCAUCAAGCAAGAAGCGACAGUGUCAAAUGUGAUAAUGAUGGAUGGUGUAGUAUGGAUGUGUGCGUCCGUCAAUCAUUCGUAACUACGUCUUUCCGUGAGGCGGCUGAAGCAGGAAAUCGCCGAGCCGUGCUGCAGAGAGCUCGGUUCUGGACCUGACCUCACCCUGCAUCCGUUGCCAGUCCACUCCUUGGAGGUACCUUUUUAAUUCCUCAAAAUCUGCUCUCCUAAAGUCAGGAAAGGAUGGCAGGUGGUGCCACGGUGAACACUGCCAACACGUGCAGGAGGAAAGGAAGGAUGGCAGGUGGUGCCACGGUGAACACUUCCAACACGUGCAGGAGGAAAGUGCGUACCUGCUUCAUUACAUCAUGUGCACUCUGUUUUGGAAAUCGCUGUUAAACUUUUUUUUUCUAUGUCAGCCGAAACUUGUCACUGUUGCCUGCCUUUCUCCUGUCUGCUUCCCACGAAUCUUUGAAGGAAAGAAAGGAUGUGCUUCCAUGGUAUCGUGUCAGUAGUAUUAUCCAUUGAAGGAUUAGUUUAAACCUUUUUCCA